rfam:Campylobacter lari RM2100, complete genome.
UCUUUUUGGUUUUUUAGUUAUAAUUGCACUUUUUAUUUUAAUACCGCUCAGGAGGUCUAUUAUGGCUUUAGAUUCGGCUAAAAAAGCAGAAAUAGUUGCAAAAUUUGCUAGAAAAGAA